rnacentral:lncRNA from 1 species
GGACUGCGGCGAGAGCACCCUGCUGGGAUGGAAGAACGAGGCAGGGGACACAGCCUUGCACCUGGCGGCAAGGCACGGACAUGGCGCUGCGGUGGAGGUACUGGUCUCGGAGGCGGCAGAGUCGGCCGCCGAGCUGAACAACGCAGGCGUGUCGGCGCUGUACUUGGCGGUAAUCAGCAGGUCGGAGCAAGCAGUCAGAGCGAUUAUGACUUGCAGGGACGUGUCAUCUGCCGGGCCGAGCUCCCAGAAUGCUCUGCACGCAGCCGUCUUCCAGAGCUCAGGUUAGGUUCUUCAUUGUUUGUUUCAUGUCCAGCAUUGUAUUUUGCAUUCAUAGAUAUAAGAGAUUAGUAUUAAUACUCUCAAAAAAGAAUAUAAUUAAUGCAUAUAAGAAGU